CUUUUCUUGUUAGUUUUUGAAGUAUGGCCUGCCCGCUGACUUGAGUGUUGAAGGGCCGCGGUAUUUUGACCGUGCAAAGGUAGCAUAAUCAUUAGUUCUUUAAUUGUGAUCUGGAAUGAAUGGCUUGACGAGGCACAAGCUGUCUUAAUGUUGAAUGUUUUAUUGAAUUUGGUUUUUGAGUUAAAAUUCUUAGAUGUUUUUGUGGGACGAGAAGACCCUAUAGAGUUUAACAUUUGGUUUAUUUGUUUGUUUGUUGUUUGUUUGUUUUAUUGGUGAGUGGACUUUUUGUUUUGUUGGGGUGAUGGGAGGAAUAUAAUUAACUCCUCUUGAUUUUGGUUAUAUUGAUUUAUAUUUAUUU
rnacentral:rRNA from 1 species